GGGGAGCCUGCUUCAUCUGCUUUGAUCCCCAAUCCAGAAAAGUUUUUCUCUACUUUACAGAAUCAUCUUUCCUCCUCUUCUCCUGGGACACAGCUUGUUCACUCUGACUGGGUUCAUUCCCCUUGCCUAGAAGGAGUCCUGCAGUUCCCCAGGCAAACCCCUCUCAUCCCAGAGACUGGCUCAAAUUCCACCUCCUCUGAGAAGCCUUCCCUAACCACCUGUGCCCUCGGGGACUGCUUGUUCCCUCUGAACUCUGCCUCUGCCAGGAGUCCGCCGAGACCUCAGCACAGAUGGACCAUUUUCUCCAAACAGACUGGAAGCUCCUGGUGAGCCAGGCCUGGGUCUCACUCUUCUUGGUUCCCCGAUGUGCCACAAGCUCAGAGCCCGCUGGCUGGUUUCAGCUGACCUGCCUCUACGACCCCACCUUGGACAGACGAAUUAAUUAGCUGCUCUCAGUCCUGGCUGGCCAGCCCAGAGCCAGAGCCUCUGUGAGUCUGCCCGGCACACAGCAAGUGCUACGUCCAGCCACUUGGGAGAUGACAGAAGAGCCUAGAAAAGCCUUCAGAGAAAUCCAAGGGCCUUGUGUCACCUGGAGCAGAUGAAAGGAGAACAUCAGCUAUAAUGGAAAUAACCAAAGAGAGGAAAAGCAUUUAGGACAAGGAUCAGAACAACGACAACAUGCCUCACAUGGUUCGGUCCUUUAUAGUUUACAACCAAAUGCCCCAGGUUUAUCAAUGAUCCAAGUCCUGGUGCUCAAUAAAUAGCAGCUAUUAUUCUCAUUUCCAUUUUACAGAUGACAAAACUGAGGACUCAGAGACAUAAAGCCAUUUGGCCAAGAUCACACAGCUGUUAGGUAACAGAUCCAGGACUUAAGUCAGUUUUCUAACAUCUUAAUCCAGAGCUGUUUCAAAACACCACAGGUUCAGUGUAGAAAAAAGGAGGCAAAGGUGGGGCUAGUGGAGGGACUUUAUGCAGGUGACAUGGGCCAGAACCCUGAGACUUAUAGUCCUUUCCAGUCUUUUUUUUUUUUUUUUUUUUUGCCAUGCUGCGUGGCUUGCGGGAUCUCAGUUCCCAGGGAUUGAACCCAGGCCACGGCAGUGAAAGUGCCAAAUCCUAACCACUAGACCAUCAGGGAACUCCCAGUCCUUUCCAGUCUUGAGGUCGACAUUCACCCGUGCACUCUGAUCCUCCUCACUCUCUGACUCUCCCUCAUUCCGGUCCUCAGUCAGUCCUUGGGUGCCAGCCUUGGAGGUAGCAGAUCCCAUGAGGACCAGGAAAUAGCGCCCUAAGAUCCUCCGCAGCUUGGAGAAGGUUGUAUCAACAUGACAGUGCCAGGAAAGAGCCCUUGGGAAAAACCACCUGGGACAGCCCGUGGCCAAGGCCCAGCCUGGACCAGGCAGUAUAGCAUAAGAAUUAAGAUUAAGAAUCUAGCCAGAUUGUCUAGGUUCAGAUCCCCACACCACCACUCACUAGUUAGAAGGCCUUGGGUAAAUCAGUCAACCUCCCUGAUUCACUGUUUCUUCCUCCAUCACAUGGAAACAAUAAUGCCAAUCUCAUGGGGCUGUUCUAAGGGUCUUAGCCAAUGUACAUAUAGAACUCAGGGCAGCAGCCAGCAAGUACCACAUAUAUUUACCAUCUUUAUCUUUAUUUACAUGUACUGAGGGGCUCAAAUGUAGACUUUCGGUGUUAGGGCCACAUGAAGUUAUACAUUCAGACACAGAAACACAGGCUAGAAAGAAGUCCCUCACAUCUGUGAAACUGGUCCCAUCAUCAGACCACUCCCCCGUGGAUGUGAGCUCCAGGAGAGCAAGAGAGCCCUAAUGAAUGAAUGAAUGACAAGGUAUAUUACUUGCACAUGAGAAAACUAAGGUUCCAAGGAGAGAGUCAGUUGUGGCCACAGAGCUGGGAAGAAGGGG